AGGGGUUUAGGUUAGACAAGACCAAGAGCCUUCAAAGCCCUAAGCAAGUAUAAUUUUACUUAACCCCUG
rnacentral:tRNA from 1 species